AACAGCUCAAAUUUAAAAUCUGGCCCCUCCCGGGGUCCGAGUUGUAAUUUGUAGAGAGGAUUUCGGGUGCGGUGCCGGUCUAAGUUCUUUGGAACAGGACGUCGCAGAGGGUGAGAAUCCCGUACGUGACCGGUGUCCAACCCCAUGUGAAACCUCUUCGACGAGUCGAGUUGUUUGGGAAUGCAGCUCUAAAUGGGUGGUAAAUUUCAUCUAAAGCUAAAUACCGGCCAGAGACCGAUAGCGCACAAGUAGAGUGAUCGAAAGAUGAAAAGCACUUUGGAAAGAGAGUCAAAAAGUACGUGAAAUUGUUGAAAGGGAAGCGCUUGCAACCAGACCUGCCCGCGGGUGAUCAGCCGUCCUUCGGGGCGGUGCACUCGCCCGCGACCAGGCCAGCAUCGGUUCGGGCGGCCGGAUAAAGGCCCCGGGAAUGUGACUCCCCCCGGGGAGUGUUAUAGCCCGGGGUGCAAUGCGGCCAGCCGGGACCGAGGACCGCGCUUCGGCUAGGAUGCUGGCGUAAUGGUUGUAAGCGGCCCGUCUUGAAACACGGACCAAGGAGUCUAACAUCUAUGCGAGUGUUUGGGUGUCAAACCCAUGCGCGGAAUGAAAGUGAACGGAGGUGGGAGCCCUUCUGGGUGCACCAUCGACCGAUCCUGAUGUCUUCGGAUGGAUUUGAGUAGGAGCAUAGCUGUUGGGACCCGAAAGAUGGUGAACUAUGCCUGGAUAGGGUGAAGCCAGAGGAAACUCUGGUGGAGGCUCGCAGCGGUUCUGACGUGCAAAUCGAUCGUCAAAUUUGGGUAUAGGGGCGAAAGACUAAUCGAACCAUCUAGUAGCUGGUUCCAGCCGAAGUUUCCCUCAGGAUAGCAGUAACGUUUUCAGUUUUAUGAGGUAAAGCGAAUGAUUAGAGGCCUUGGGGUUGAAACAACCUUAACCUAUUCUCAAACUUUAAAUAUGUAAGAAGUCCUUGUUACUUAGUUGAACGUGGACAUUUGAAUGCACCGUUACUAGUGGGCCAUUUUUGGUAAGCAGAACUGGCGAUGCGGGAUGAACCGAACGUGAGGUUAAGGUGCCGGAAUGCACGCUCAUCAGACACCACAAAAGGUGUUAGUUCAUCUAGACAGCCGGACGGUGGCCAUGGAAGUCGGAACCCGCUAAGGAGUGUGUAACAACUCACCGGCCGAAUGAACUAGCCCUGAAAAUGGAUGGCGCUCAAGCGUGCUACCCAUACCUCGCCGCCA
rnacentral:rRNA from 1 species